AUGUUGUAAAGGUGUUUAUUCAUAAUUGGCGAAAAAUGAUAUUAUAUAAUACUCUAAUUUUCAACAAUUCUGUGCAAUAAAGGUUGUACAUAUGGCAUGGAUGAUGUUCCAGGCUUUAGGCUGUUGUACAUAUUGCUUUAUAUGUUCUCAAGAGAGAGAAAGAGAGAGCCAUCCGAUAGUAAACCCCAGCUCCACCCUUCCACUGCUUCGACGCCGCGCUGGUGACUGUCACCGUCAACAUCUCAACCACAACAGUGGCAACGGUAAGAAGGGAUUUGAGGGUUCGGCACCGAUUUGAGGGAUUUGAGGUUCCGCAAAAAAAAACGAAAAUAAGAAAGAGAGAGUCGGAAUUGGUUUUCCAGUGUAUAGGGUUUCGAUUAUGAGCUACAGGCUGAGCUUCGCCAUCUCAAUUCUCAAAGACCAGGUCAAGGAUGAAGCAGUAGGUUACAAGUAAUAUAAGCAAGGGUACAAGUUUGAUUUUUGACCACCAAAAGUUUUUUGUUGAAAACAAACUCAAGAAAAUUUAACCAUCAUUUUGAAGACCUUGCUGGUCAACCAGAACUUGGAGCUAUGUUUUAAGUAAUUGGAUACUUAAUGGGUCAACAAGGAGCUUGGGGGGUGUCUCAAGUACUUUGAAGAUCUUGCUGAUCAACUGGAACUUGGAGCUAUGUUUUAAGUAAUUGGAUACUUAAUGGGUCAACAAGGAGCUUGGGGGGUAUCUCAAGUACAUCCCUCAAUGGCACGGUUAAGUGGAAUCCGUCUCUUGAUGCGGUAGAAUCAGAAGACGACAAGUGCGAGUUUCUCCACUUGCAACUUUUGUUGCAACCAUGGCCGUCUAAUAGACAGAUCUGCGCCAAAAAGGUCGGUCGGCUAAUGGACAAAAAAUGGUCGUUUCUAAUAUGGGUUAGACUUUUACUUAUGUGUGAAUGCUUGAAGUCGAUAUAUCUCCAGGUGUUUAGAGGCUGUGAUGAGUUAAGUCCGGAUCGUUUCUUGGCGCGACACAAACAAAGGACGACAAGUGUGAGGUUCUCCACUUGCAACUUCUUUGCAGCCAUAGCGGUCUAAUAGACAGAUCUGAGCCAAAUAGGUUGGUCGGUUAACGGGGAAAAGGGCUCUUCAAAGGGAUAACUGAAGUUGUGUCUUGGAGUAAUAUGUUCUUGGUCACUUUGCUGUUGGAUUAGUCUAUUUAGUUAGCAUAACUUUUAGAUCCUUUAUUUUUUCCAAAUAAGUUGUAUAUUUCGAUGUAUUUUGGAUUUUUUUGAUGAAGAAGGAUGAUAAGAAAACGACACAUGAUGGUGAUGUUCUUCACCUAUUUAUACACACAUGGCCUGUAUUUUUUCCUA